UACGGGGGGGGCAAGCGUUGUUCGGAAUUACUGGGCGUAAAGGGUUCGUAGGUGGCCAACUAAGUCAGACGUGAAAUCCCUCAGCUUAACUGGGGAACUGCGUCUGAGACUGGAUGGCUUGAGUGCAGGAGAGGAACGCGGAAUUCCAGGUGUAGCGGUGAAAUGCGUAGAUAUCUGGAGGAAUACCGGUGGCGAAGGCGGCAUCCUGGACCAUUACUGACGCUGAGGCGCGAAAGCUAGGGGAGCAAACGGG
rnacentral:rRNA from 1 species